UGGUAAAUAUCAUCUAAAUCUAAAUAUUGGCCAGAGACCGAUAGCGCACAAGUAGAGUGAUCGAAAAGAUGAAAGCACUUNGGAAAGAGAGUUAAACAGUACGUGAAAUAGUUGAAAGGGAAGCGCUUGCAACCAGACUGGCGCGCGGCCGAUCAUCCGGUGUUCUCACCGGAGCACUCGGCCGUGCUCAGGCCAGCAUCGGUUUUGGCGGCUGGAUAAAGGCCCUAGGAAUGUGGCUCCUCUCGGGGAGUGUUAUAGCCUAGGGUGCAAUGCAGCCUGCUGGGACCGAGGACCGCGCUUCGGCUAGGAUGCUGGCGUAAUGGUUGUAAGCGGCCCGUCUUGAAACACGGACCAAGGAGUCUAACAUCUAUGCGAGUGUUUGGGUGUCAAACCCAUACGCGUAAUGAAAGUGAACGGAGGUGAGAACCCUUAAGGGUGCAUCAUCGACCGGUCCUGAAGUUUACGGAAGGAUCUGAGUAAGAGCAUAGCUGUUGGGACCCGAAAGAUGGUGAACUAUGCCUGAAUAGGGUGAAGCCAGAGGAAACUCUGGUGAAGGCUCGCAGCGGUUCUGACGUGCAAAUCGAUCGUCAAAUUUGGGUAUAGGGGCGAAAGACUAAUCGA
rnacentral:rRNA from 1 species